GAGGAAUAUUGGUCAAUGGAGGCAACUCUGAACCAGCCAUGCCGCGUGCAGGAUGACGGUCCUAUGGAUUGUAUACUGCUUUUGUACGGGAAGAAAUGUAAUUACGUGUAAUUAUUUGACGGUACCGUAAGAAUAAGGAUCGGCUAACUCCGUGCCAGCAGCCGCGGUAAUACGGAGGAUCCGAGCGUUAUCCGGAAUUAUUGGGUUUAAAGGGUUCGUAGGCGGUUGAGUAAGUCAGUGGUGAAAUCUUAUAGCUUAACUAUAAAAUUGCCGUUGAUACUGCUUGACUUGAAUAGUAUGGAAGUAAUUAGAAUAUGUAGUGUAGCGGUGAAAUGCUUAGAUAUUACAUGGAAUACCAAUUGCGAAGGCAGAUUACUACGUACUUAUUGACGCUGAUGAACGAAAGCGUGGGUAGCGAACAGGA
rnacentral:rRNA from 1 species